GAUGAACGCUGGCGGCGUGCCUAAUACAUGCAAGUCGAGCGAACAGACGAGGAGCUUGCUCCUCUGACGUUAGCGGCGGACGGGUGAGUAACACGUGGAUAACCUACCUAUAAGACUGGGAUAACUUCGGGAAACCGGAGCUAAUACCGGAUAAUAUAUUGAACCGCAUGGUUCAAUAGUGAAAGACGGUUUUGCUGUCACUUAUAGAUGGAUCCGCGCCGCAUUAGCUAGUUGGUAAGGUAACGGCUUACCAAGGCAACGAUGCGUAGCCGACCUGAGAGGGUGAUCGGCCACACUGGAACUGAGACACGGUCCAGACUCCUACGGGAGGCAGCAGUAGGGAAUCUUCCGCAAUGGGCGAAAGCCUGACGGAGCAACGCCGCGUGAGUGAUGAAGGUCUUCGGAUCGUAAAACUCUGUUAUUAGGAAAGAACAAAUGUGUAAGUAACUAUGCACGUCUUGACGGGACCUAAUCAGAAAGCCACGGCUAACUACGU
rnacentral:rRNA from 1 species